rnacentral:rRNA from 1 species
GCUACUACCGAUUGAAUGGUUUAGUGAGAUCAUCGGACCGGCCCCGGCACGUCGGGCGACCGUCGAGCCGUGGUUGCCGGGAAGACGAUCGAACUUGAUCAUUUAGAGGAAGUAAAAGUCGUAACAAGGUUUCCGUAGGUG